rnacentral:rRNA from 1 species
AACGAACGCUGGCGGCAUGCCUAAUACAUGCAAGUCGAACGAGAAAGUCACUUCGGUGGCGAGUACAGUGGCGCACGGGUGAGUAACACGUAGGUGACCUACCCAGUAGCUGGGGACAACCCGGGGAAACUCGGGCUAAUACCGAAUAAGCUGAGCAAACUUGAAAGUAGCUCAGGAAAGAUGACCUCUCCUUGGAAGUUAUCACUACUGGAAGGGCCUGCGGGCCAUUAGCUUGAUGGUGGGGUAAAGGCCUACCAUGGCGAUGAUGGUUAGCUGUUCUGAGAGGAAGAUCAGCCACACUGGAACUGAGACACGGUCCAG